rnacentral:pre_miRNA from 1 species
UAUUAAAAAAUUUAUCCAUUUGUAUUCUUAAAAAUUGGCUUGGUUGACAAAUACAGUGACAUAUGAUGUGCCACAUGUAACUUAUGCUGACAUAUAGAGACAAAUUUUUAACAGAGAAAAAGGAUGGAAUUUUUAAUA